AGUUCCUACGGGGGGCAGCAGUAGGGAAUCUUCCACAAUGGACGAAAGUCUGAUGGAGCAACGCCGCGUGAGUGAAGAAGGGUUUCGGCUCGUAAAGCUCUGUUGGUAGUGAAGAAAGAUAGAGGUAGUAACUGGCCUUUAUUUGACGGUAAUUACUUAGAAAGUCACAGCUAACUACGUGCCAGCCGCCGCGGUAAUACGUAGGUGGCAAGCGUUGUCCGGAUUUAUUGGGCGUAAAGGGAACGCAGGCGGUCUUUUA
rnacentral:rRNA from 1 species